GGACUACCGGGGUUUCUAAUCCUGUUCGCUCCCCACGCUUUCGCUCCUCAGCGUCAGUUACUGCCCAGAGACCCGCCUUCGCCACCGGUGUUCCUCCUGAUAUCUGCGCAUUCCACCGCUACACCAGGAAUUCCAGUCUCCCCUGCAGUACUCUAGUCUGCCCGUAUCGCUCGCACGCCCACAGUUGAGCUGUGGGUUUUCACGAACAACGUGACAAACCACCUACGAGCUCUUUACGCCCAGUAAUUCCGGACAACGCUCGGACCCUACGUAUUACCGCGGCUGCUGGCAC
rnacentral:rRNA from 1 species